rnacentral:rRNA from 1 species
UACGUAGGUGGCAAGCGUUGUCCGGAUUUACUGGGCGUAAAGAGCGCGCAGGCGGUCGUUCAAGUCGCGUGUGAAAGCCCCCGGCUCAACUGGGGAGGGUCACGCGAUACUGUUCGACUCGAAGGCAGGAGAGGGUAGUGGAAUUCCCGGUGUAGUGGUGAAAUGCGUAGAUAUCGGGAGGAACACCAGUGGCGAAGGCGACUACCUGGCCUGUUCUUGACGCUGAGGCGCGAAAGCUAGGGUAGCAAACGGG